AGUGAACGCUGGCGGUAGGCCUAACACAUGCAAGUCGAACGGCAGCACAGUAAGAGCUUGCUCUUACGGGUGGCGAGUGGCGGACGGGUGAGGAAUACAUCGGACUCUACUUUUUCGUGGGGGAUAACGUAGGGAAACUUACGCUAAUACCGCAUACGACCUACGGGUGAGAGCAGGGGAUCUUCGGACCUUGCGCGAUUGAAUGAGCCGAUGUCGGAUUAGCUAGUUGGCGGGGUAAAGGCCCACCAAGGCGACGAUCCGUAGCUGGUCUGAGAGGAGGAUCGGCCACACUGGAACGGGGACACGGUCCAGACUCCUGCGGGAGGCAGCAGUGGGGAAUAGUGGACAAUGGUCGCAAGCCUGAUCCAGCCAUACCGCGUGGGUGGAGAAGGCCUUCGGGUUGUAAAGCCCGUUUGUUGGGAAAGAAAAGCAGCAGGUUAAGACCCCGCUGUUCUGACGGUACCCAAAGAAUAAGCACCGGCUAACUUCGUG
rnacentral:rRNA from 1 species